rnacentral:rRNA from 1 species
AGGCCUCAACUCAGGCAAGACUACCUGCUGAACUUAAGCAUAUCAGUAAGCAGAGGAAAAGAAAAUAACAAUGAUUCCCUUAGUAACUGCGAGUGAAGCGGGAAAAGAUCAACGUUGAAAUCUCAGUGACUACGUUGCUGAGAGUUGUAACGUAUAGACUAUGUAUCAAGUUUGUGUGUUGCUUUUAAAAUCUUCUGGAUCGAAGUGCCAUAGAGGGUGAUAGCCCCGUAGUUAAAAGUGACAUCAAAUGCAAGAUACAUGGAUCUUAGAGUCGGGUAAUUUGGGAUUGUUGCCUGAACCGAAGGUAAACUCCUUCGAAAUCUAAAUAUAUUGUUUUUGACCGAUAGCGAACAAGUACCGUGAGGGAAAGGUGAAAAGAAAUCUGUAAAGACAGUUAAAAGUACGUGAAACCGUUAACAUGGAAGCUGAGGGCAGUGUCGCGAUUCAUGGUAUUAAUUACAACUUGUGUCAAAGCAACGUUGUAAUCCGGUCCAUGAUGUUGUCAGAACCAUUGACAAUCUUCAAGGCCAGUGGAAUAGCCUAGGAACUAC